rnacentral:lncRNA from 1 species
AAAAAUAAACCAAUAAUAAUAAAAAAAAGAUAAAAGAAAUAAUAAAAUGGAGUGGACACACUUUCAAUACAAGAGGUAAAAUAAUUAAAAAACUAAAGAAAAUAAAACAAAAAACAAAAAUAAAUAUAGCAAUAAAGCAAUAAUAAGAAAACAAUAAAAAAAAAUAUAAAAGACAUAAUCAAGCUGAAAAUUAGGGGUGUAGU